rnacentral:rRNA from 1 species
UACGUAGGGCGCAAGCGUUGUCCGGAAUUAUUGGGCGUAAAGAGCUCGUAGGCGGCCUGUUACGUCUGCUGUGAAAUCCCGGGGCUUAACCCCGGGCGUGCAGUGGAUACGGGCAGGCUGGAGGCAGGCAGGGGAGAACGGAAUUCCCGGUGUAGCGGUGAAAUGCGCAGAUAUCGGGAGGAACACCGGUGGCGAAGGCGGUUCUCUGGCCUGUACUGACGCUGAGGAGCGAAGCGUGGGGAGCGAACAGAU